rnacentral:rRNA from 1 species
GAUAAACGCUGGCGGCGUGCCUAAUACAUGCAAGUCGAACGAGGAGUCUUUGUAGCAAUACGGGGACUUCCUAGUGGCGAAUGGGUGAGUAACGCGUUGGUGACCUGCCCCAAAGUGUGGAACAACUCCGGGAAACUGGAGCUAAUACCGCAUGUGGUUAUCAGGGUUAGAGGCCUGGUAACUGAAGGAGUAAUCCGCUUUGGGAGGGACCUGCGUCCCAUCAGCUAGUUGGUAGGGUAACGGCCUACCAAGGCGACGACGGGUAGGGGGCCUGAGAGGGUGGCCCCCCACACUGGAACUGAAACACGGUCCAGACACCUACGGGUGGCAG